rnacentral:tRNA from 1 species
GCCUCUUUAGCUCAGUGGUAGAGCAGCUCACUCGUAAUGAGCAGGUCGUGGGUUCGACUCCCAUGAGAGGCU